ACCAAUGGGAGGUUUUGUUUUUUUUCAAUGAGAAGACAAAAGAGGCCAAAUGUUUCAACUUUUAACUACGAGCUUAAAGACCUCGUACCGUAACAGCUAUCAAAGCCUCCUUCACGGAUACGUGCCGCUCGGCUACGUACGGCACGUGGAGACAAGAUGAAAACGGUGCGAGAGCAGAGGAGCGUGUGAGACAGGGGCAGAGGACGACAAAUGAGCAGCAGGCAGGAGGCCAGGAAGGGGUCAGCGCGGGUCAGCGCUCGGCCCUGGCACUGCAACACCUACAGUCGCAAAUCGGGAUGGAUGAAGAAAUAUACAAAGAUAAAUA